rnacentral:rRNA from 1 species
UACGUAGGGUGCGAGCGUUAAUCGGAAUUACUGGGCGUAAAGCGUGCGCAGGCGGUUUUGUAAGUCUGACGUGAAAUCCCCGGGCUCAACCUGGGAAUUGCGUUGGAGACUGCAAGGCUAGAAUCUGGCAGAGGGGGGUAGAAUUCCACGUGUAGCAGUGAAAUGCGUAGAGAUGUGGAGGAACACCGAUGGCGAAGGCAGCCCCCUGGGUCAAGAUUGACGCUCAUGCACGAAAGCGUGGGGAGCAAACGAAGGAUAGAGUACCG